GUCUAUGGCUAUGCUACCCUGACAAGCCCAAUCCUGUCUGAUCUCAGAAGCUAAGCAGGGUCGGGCCUGGUUAGUACUCUCGGUAUAGAGAGAGACCACCUAGGAAGACCAGGUGCUGUAGGCA
rnacentral:rRNA from 1 species